rnacentral:rRNA from 1 species
AACGAACGCUGGCGGCAUGCCUAACACAUGCAAGUCGAACGAGACCUUCGGGUCUAGUGGCGCCCGGGUGCGUAACGCGUGGGAACCUGCCCUUAGGUUCGGAAUAACUCCCCGAAAGGGGUGCUAAUACCGGAUAAUGUCUUCGGACCAAAGAUUUAUCGCCUUUGGAUGGGCCCGCGUUGGAUUAGCUCGUUGUUAGGGUAAAAGCCUACCAAGGCGACGAUCCAUAGCUGGUCUGAGAGGAUGAUCAGCCACACUGGGACUGAGACACGGCCCAGACUCCUACGGGAGGCAGCAGUGGGGAAUAUUGGACAAUGGGCGAAAGCCUGAUCCAGCAAUGCCGCGUGAGUGAUGAAGGCAUUAGGGUUGUAAAGCUCUUUUACCCGGGAUGAUAAUGACAGUACCGGGAGAAUAAGCUCCGGCUAACUCCGUG